CAGGUGCAAUUAAGUUAGCCAAUCAAUAAACCUAACAAUCGAGAGAUUAUCCAGGUGGGCCUGACUUAAUCAUAUAAACUCUUUAAAUCUGGGUGUAGAGGUUAGCGACAGAGAAAUCAGAUACUAGAUGCAUCCUUUCUGACUUGAAGAUGAAGGCAAUUUUGUGACAAGUGAUGCUGGUGGCAUGUAAGACCUGUAAGCAGGCCCCAGCUGACAGUCCGUUAGAAAGGAAACAGGGGCUGCAGUUCUCCAACUGCAAAACACGGAAUUUUGCUUGAAAUUUAACUUGGAAGCAGACUUUCUCCCAGAGCUUCUAGAUGAAAACUCAGCCUGGCCAACCCCUUGGUGUCAGCUUUGUGUUACCCUGAGCAGGUACCCAAGACAUAUGGUUCUGGACUGCGGACCCACGGAAAGGGUGAGCAUCCACAUCUACCACCCGUGACCAGACUUCUCCACCUGUUGGCGAGCUUAAGUUAAAGUUAUCAAUAUAUGCCCCAAAACAGCAAUCACCUGGAUGAGAAGCAGAUGACAUCUAAUGUAGACUGUGAAUCCCAAGACACAGACCAGACUACCUCUCAUCAUCCAAAGUUGAAGUGGACAAGAAAGUCAAGUAAAGUUCAAGAAAGAUCCUAUUUGACUGCUAUUGUCAACCUGCUUUGGCAUUGGAGUGUUGUUGGGAUUCAUUUCAUAGAUUCAUGAGAAAAUAACCUCUCCAUCACAGGAGAGCGCGCUCACUGUGCCAUUCAUAUGGGUGAAUGCUUUUCCCUGGCCUGGUCAUAUGGGUUUCUUUAGAUAUGAAGUACUUCCCUUCCAUCUUUUAUCUCCUGCAGUUUCCUCAUUGCUUUUGACAAUCUCGAACCUAAUGUGAGGUAAUUGUAGGCCAUUUCUUAAUCAUGUAGCACACAGCAAUCCCUAUGCCCUUGCUUAUGAGAGAGUAUGGAACUCACAGUAACUUGAUAGUUUGCCCAAAAAAUCAUCAUUUGAUCUCCUACUCAAGCGCUCUGUAUUCUCCAUGUAUCCUUCUUUGCAAGUGGUCAGUUUGGAUUAUGGGGGGAAUUAUCUAUUGUUUUGAGAUGAAGUCUAAGGUUGAAAUAUACCAGUUAGGGAUUCUUUGGGUUACAAAACAGACUACUUACCAUUGUAGUUAUUAAAAGCAUUUAACUGUUUUACGUAGUUAGAGAUCAGAGAUAGGAAAUGUCAUAUGUGACACAGUGCCAUGUUAUUAAGAACCUAGUUCUCUUAAUUAUUUCGCUCUACUGUAUAUGUUGCUUUUGUUUUACCUUUUGGAUUGCCCAUCUCAAGGAUAAGCAACAUAUCUUCAGAAAAUAAGCAGGAAGAUGAGGUAAAAAGGCUUGGAAAUUGAAUAUUUUUAUGUACCUGCUGCUGUUGCUAGGAAACUGAAUAUACCCCAGAAACCAUUUUUUUGUCCCAUGAGACUUCCUCUUGGGACUCAAUGACAAUAACUAUGCUAUAUGACCACUUUAUCAGACAAUGAAUGGAUAUUCUAAAGUUUUGAGAGGGAGCUAAAGUCUAUGCCUAUAGAAUAGUGAGUUUUGUAGUGAAUACUAAAGAAUGAAAAUAUAAAGGAAGAGUAAUUUCAGUGAACAAUUAACUCUCAUCAUUAAAUUAUUUAAAAGGUAUAAAAUAUAAUUUUUCAAAAUGUGUGAUAUAUGGAUUAGAUAGACCGUGCACUCCAUAAGGAAGAGUUCCCAAAUAAGAUCAGGACAAAGAAAUUACAUGUUCCUAUUUUUAAGAUACUAUAAAAAGCUAAGACCAGAAUUCAUUAUUCAUGGAUUUUUACAUAUUCAAAACACUGUCAUUGUUUCGUGAUGAAUAGAGUAACAGUUAUACCAUCAAGGACAGAUAGAAAAUGCCUUUCUCCAAAUUAGCUUUUAUCAAGUUGACUAUAGCUCCAAGACAUACAUUAGUUUAGGAGGAGAUGAUUUAUAUAGAUUCCAAUAAUAGUCUCACUGUCCUGGAUACCAAUCAAUAGAGACUUCUUAUAUUAUUCACUUGACUUUGUCAUUUAUGCUGACAUACAGACAAAGAUCAUUGUACAAGAUUAUAAAGAGACAAAGUCUGGGCAUGUUAAAAUAGUGCUUUUAAAAAGAACUUUGAACUUUAGCAAAGUAUAUUUUAAUGACCUGAUAGAAUCUACUAACAAUAUUUUAAAUAACAACAAGACAUCUGUCUUCUUUACCUUUCAAUUUCUUCUGGAUUUUUGUAGAAAUAAUAAUGAAAAUAUACUUCUCGUAUAUUUAACAUCAAAACAAAAAGAUUGGGGCCGGCCUGGUGGCGCAGUGGUUAUUAAGUUCACACAUUCUGCUUCUUGGCAGCCUGAGGUUCGCCGGUUCGGAUGCUGGGUGCAGACAUGGCACCGCUUGGCAAAAGCCAUGCUGUGACACAAUACACAGCCAAUGGGAUGCACACAAGAUGCCAUUCACCCAACAAUAGGGAGCUUUGCAUUCAUUCUCUCUUAAUGGUCUAUGAAGAGCAGGUGAGAAAUUCCUCAAACCUGCAUCUGGAUGUCUAUUUGCUACCCCUGAUCUUUGGGAUUAUAAACUCCAGCCUCCAAGAAGUGGUGCCUGAAAACCAGGACCAGUACCAGGGAAACUGCCUCCUAAAUGGACUGUGACACUUUAUAAACCAACCAGAGGAUGUCAUUUCAGUGCUCAAUUUUCUCCAUCCAUGAAAUAAAAAUAAAAAGUUUAUUAGAAAAUGUGGCUAUGGAAAAGAGACUCUUAGAAUUUUACUCUCAAACUGGAUCUUUCAUUAAUCAGAUUGAGACAAGAGCUCAUUGUCAGUGACAUGGUGAAAACCAGCAUGCUGUAGCAUCAGCUGCAGUGGACUGGAAGGAGCCACAGGUGGAAAGGGAAGCAUUGGCUUUUGCAGAAGCUCUAGAACUUGAAUGGAAUGAGGGGAAUGUUUAGGAUUGUGUAGAUCUGACUAAGAAGUCUUGAACAGAGAAUGACAAGCUCAAGUUAGUCAACUCUCCUGUACAGCAUGUUUUG
rnacentral:lncRNA from 1 species